UUAAAUUGAAGAGUUUGAUCAUGGCUCAGAUUGAACGCUGGCGGCAGGCCUAACACAUGCAAGUCGAACGGUAACAGGAAUCAGCUUGCUGAUUUGCUGACGAGUGGCGGAC
rnacentral:rRNA from 1 species